rnacentral:rRNA from 1 species
GAUCUCUUUGAGGCCCGUUAUCGGAAUGAGAACAAUUCAAAUCCUUUAACGAGGAUCUAGCGGAGGGCAAGUCUGGUGCCAGCAGCCGCGGUAAUUCCAGCUCCGCAGGUGUAUAUCUAUGCUGCUGCGGUUAAAAAGCUCGUAGUUGGAUCUGCGUGCUCGGAACUGGUUGGCUCACUGAGUUCAAACUGGUCUCCGGCGCUUUAUUGGCUGGUUUUCCCUUGAUGCUCUUAACCGGGUGUCUUGGGUGGCUAGCACGUUUACUUUGAAAAAAUUAGAGUGCUCAAUACAGGCGUAAAGCCUUGAAUAGUGGUGCAUGGAAUAAUAGAAUAGGACCUCGGCUCUAUUUUGUUGGUUUUCGGAACGCGAGGUAAUGAUUAAGAGGGACAGACGGGGGCAUUCGUAUUGCGACGUUAGAGGUGAAAUUCUUGGAUCGUCGCAAGACGGACGACUGCGAAAGCAUUUGCCAAGAAUGUUUUCAUUAAUCAAGAUCGAAAGUUAGAGGUUCGAAGGCGAUCAGAUACCGCCCUAGUUCUAACCGUAAACGAUGCCAACUAGCGAUUCGCAGGCGUUAAACAACGACCUUGCGGGCAGCUUCCCGGAAACGAAAGUGUUCGGGUUCCGGGGGAAGUAUGGUUGCAAAGCUGAAACUUAAAGGAAUUGACGGAAGGGCACCACCAGGAGUGGAGCCUGCGGCUUAAUUUGACCCAACACGGGAAAACUCACCCGGCCCGGACACCGUAAGGAUUGACAGAUUGAGAGCUCUUUCUUGAUUCGGUGGGUGGUGGUGCAUGGCCGUUCUUAGUUGGUGGAGCGAUUUGUCUGGUUUAUUCCGAUAACGAACGAGACUCUGGCCUACUAAAUAGUGGGCGGAUUCUUUCUGUCCGCAACACUUCUUAGAGGGACAAGCGGUGUUCAGCCGCACGAGAUUGAGCAAUAACGGGUCUGUGAUGCCCUUAGAUGUCCGGGGCUGCACGCGCGCUACACUGAAGGAAUCAGCGUGCUUUCUGACCUUGCCCGAAAGGGCUGGGUAACCCGAUGAAAAUCCUUCGUGAUUGGGAUAGGGACUUGCAAUUAUUUCCCUUGAACGAGGAAUUCCCAGUAAGUGUGGGUCAUAAGCUCGCGUUGAUUACGUCCCUGCCCUUUGUACACACCGCCCGUCGCUGCCCGGAACUGAGCCGUUUCGAGAAGAACAGGGACCGUCGUUGAAGGGCCUUAACGGGCUUUUCUCUGAUAGAAACUGUU